GGGGUCGUGGCUCAGUAGUAGAGCAUUUGCUUCACAUGUAUGAGGCACUGGGUUCAAUUCUCAGCACUCCA
rnacentral:tRNA from 1 species